ACUCCUACGGGAGGCAGCAGUGGGGAAUAUUGGACAAUGGGCGGAAGCCUGAUCCAGCAACGCCGCGUGAGGGAUGACUGCCUUCGGGUUGUAAACCUCUUUCAGCGGGGACGAAGCACCGGUUGAUGGUGGUGACGGUACCCGCAGAAGAAGCACCGGCCAACUACGUGCCAGCAGCCGCGGUAAUACGUAGGGUGCGAGCGUUGUCCGGAAUUAUUGGGCGUAAAGGGCUCGUAGGCGGUUUGUCGCGUCGGGCGUGAAAUCCACCAGCUUAACUGGUGGUCUGCGUUCGAUACGGGCAGACUAGAGGUAUGCAGGGGAGAACGGAAUUCCUGGUGUAGCGGUGAAAUGCGCAGAUAUCAGGAGGAACACCGGUGGCGAAGGCGGUUCUCUGGGCAUUACCUGACGCUGAGGAGCGAAAGUGUGGGGAGCGAACAGGAUUAGAUACCCUGGUAGUCCACACCGUAAACGUUGGGCGCUAGGUGUGGGGCCUAUUCCAUGGGUUCCGUGCCGCAGCUAACGCAUUAAGCGCCCCGCCUGGGGAGUACGGCCGCAGGGCUAAAACUCAAAGGAAUUGACGGGGGCCCGCACAAGCGGCGGAGCAUGCGGAUUAAUUC
rnacentral:rRNA from 1 species